GAUGAAGAACGUAGCGAAAUGCGAUACGUAGUGUGAAUUGCAGAAUUCAGUGAAUCAUCGAAUCUUUGAACGCACCUUGCGCCCUUUGGCUAUUCCGAAGGGCAUGCCUGUUUGAGUGUCAUUAAUAUAUCAACCUUCUCUUUUUUGAGUUGUUUGGAUGUGGGGGUUUGCUGGCCUCUUAAAUGAUUCAGCUCCCCUGAAAUGCAUUAGCAGAACAACCUGUUCAUUAGCGUGAUAAUUAUCUAUGCUAUUGAAUGUGAGGGCAGUUCAGCUUUCUAACCGUCCUUGGACAAUUCAUCAUUAAUGUGACCUCAAAUCAGGUAGGACUACCCGCUGAACUUAAGCAUAUCAAUAAGCGGAGGA
rnacentral:misc_RNA from 1 species